AACGAACGCUGGCGGCAUGCCUAACACAUGCAAGUCGAACGAGACCUUCGGGUCUAGUGGCGCACGGGUGCGUAACGCGUGGGAAUCUGCCCUUGGGUGCGGAAUAACAGUUAGAAAUGACUGCUAAUACCGCAUAAUGACUCCGGUCCAAAGAUUUAUCGCCCAAGGACGAGCCCGCGUCGGAUUAGCUAGUUGGUGAGGUAAAAGCUCACCAAGGCGACGAUCCGUAGCUGGUCUGAGAGGAUGAUCAGCCACACUGGGACGGAGACACGGCCCAGACUCCUACGGGAGGCAGCAGUGGGGAAUAUUGGACAAUGGGCGAAAGCCUGAUCCAGCAAUGCCGCGUGAGUGAUGAAGGCCUUAGGGUUGUAAAGCUCUUUUACCCGGGAUGAUAAUGACAGUACCGGGAGAAUAAGCCCCGGCUAACUCCGUGCCAGCCGCCGCAGUAAGAC
rnacentral:rRNA from 1 species